CUUAACUUUGUAAUGACUUCAAAUGAUUGCAAUGAUAUAUGAAUGUCAUACAAUUCCUUUGAAACUUUGUGUAUGCUUCAAAUUCUGUGCAAUCAAACUUUGUGUAUGUGAUUCUGUGAUGUGCCAUAAAAAUCUCAUAACAUACCUUAAGUGUUCAAAUUUGACACAACUUAUCAAUGCAUAUGAAACAGGGGGAGCACAACUACUUUUAAAAGGUCUGAAAUGAAUUCCAAAACAAAGGGAGAGUGAAAUGAAUGCUGCAUUCAUUAAUAGAAAUAAUUUGGAUAGAGGGAGCAUAACUUGAAUAUCCUUGAGUGAUUCAUGGUAACAUGCUGAAUUCCACUAGGAAUUGUGUCUUAAGUACCUAAGGAUAAUUUGUCCCCUUCAUUGUUGAUGACAAAAAGGGGG
rnacentral:lncRNA from 1 species